GUAAGGAAUAUUGGUCAAUGGACGCAAGUCUGAACCAGCCAUGCCGCGUGGAGGAUGAAGGUCCUCUGGAUUGUAAACUUCUUUUAUCUGGGACGAAAAAAGGGAAUUCUUUCUCGUCUGACGGUACCAGAUGAAUAAGCACCGGCUAACUCCGUGCCAGCAGCCGCGGUAAUACGGAGGGUGCAAGCGUUAUCCGGAUUCACUGGGUUUAAAGGGUGCGUAGGCGGGUAUGUAAGUCCGUGGUGAAAUCUCCGAGCUUAACUCGGAAACUGCCAUGGGUACUGCGUAUCUUGAAUGUUGUGGAGGUGAGCGGAAUAUGUCAUGUAGCGGUGAAAUGCUUAGAUAUGACAUAGAACACCAAUUGCGAAGGCAGCUCACUACACAAAUAUUGACGCUGAGGCACGAAAGCGUGGGGAUCAAACAGGAUUAGAAACCCGAGUAGUCC
rnacentral:rRNA from 1 species